UACGAAGGGGGCUAGCGUUGUUCGGAAUUACUGGGCGUAAAGCGCGCGCAGGCGGCUUUCCAAGUCAGGGGUGAAAUCCCAGAGCUCAACUCUGGAAUUGCCUCUGAGACUGUGAGGCUUCGAGUACGGGAGAGGUGAGUGGAAUUCCCAGUGUAGAGGUGAAAUUCGUAGAUAUUGGGAAGAACACCGGUGGCGAAGGCGGCUCACUGGCCCGUUACUGACGCUCAUGCGCGACAGCGUGGGGAUCAAACAGG
rnacentral:rRNA from 1 species